UUGUGUACGAUAAACACGUAUGAAAAAAGUUCGCAUAAAACAUGCUUGCGUUAUAUAAUUAGUGAUUAAUUUGACCAACACCUUGUGCAUAUCUAGCCUACAGAUUCGACAUAUUGAUUUUACAUUAAAAACUGAGAAAACAACCGUCCCGAAGUCAAGGAAACGAUGACGCAUGUUCCUUCGAGUUUAUGGAAUGAGUGUUGAGAGACGGCGAGUGGAACUAGAGCUAUGUCAACUCGACACCGUAUCGGUAAUUUGAUCAAAUCAAAAAGCGAGAUUAAACAGUGAAGGAAUUUCUUCCGAAAACUUCCAUACGGUUGGGAUAUACCAUCCAGGGAUUGGUAACCCUGAUAUGAUCACUGUCAAUUCGGCGUUCUCGAUACGGUUGAGGCAUGGUGGGAAAUUGGAUUUAAGUUUGCCCUGACAGAGGCCCUGCAGCAAGUGACGCGGGAGUAUCAUCGUGAGAAAUUCUGGGAAAACGCAAUAAGAGACGAUCCAUUGGCAGAACUAUCAAAUUCUCAGGAAGCAGGUAGCAUCGGAGUUUGGGUAUCAAGUAUAAAAUUCGGUGUCAACGAAGCCGCGAAAGAUUUGAAUUUCAAUGACAAGUGCGAUUCAAGGUUUGCUUCGGAACUGUUACGUUAUACACAAUUAGCAUGUUUCAUUUGCUCAUAUGUAUUAAAUUGAAUAAAUUCCAUUUCAGUCGUCAACAUGAGCAGCAAAGUAGAGUUGUCUGA